UACGUAGGGGGCAAGCGUUGUCCGGAUUUAUUGGGCGUAAAGAGCGUGUAGGCGGCUUUACAGGUCCGUUGUGAAAACUCGAGGCUCAACCUCGAGACGCCGGUGGAAACCGUAAGGCUAGAGUCCGGAAGAGGAGAGUGGAAUUCCUGGUGUAGCGGUGAAAUGCGCAGAUAUCAGGAGGAACACCCGUGGCGAAGGCGACUACCUGGCCUGUUCUUGACGCUGAGGCGCGAAAGCUAGGGGAGCAAACGGG
rnacentral:rRNA from 1 species